CAGGGGGUAGUUUAUAAAAAAUUUUAAUUUUGGAGAUUAAGGAAGGGUUUUCUCUCCCCUGA
rnacentral:tRNA from 1 species